AUUGAACGCUGGCGGCAGGCCUAACACAUGCAAGUCGAACGGGUGGCGGACGGGUGAUUAAUGUCUGGGAAACUGCCUGAUGGAGGGGGAUAGCUACUGGAAACGGUAGCUACUACCGCAUACCAUCAGAUGUUCCCAGAUAGGAUUAGCUAGGUGGUGGGGUAACGGCUCACCAAGGCGACGAGCCCUAGCUGGUCUGAGAGGAUGACCAGCCACACUGGAACGGAGACACGGGCCAGACUCCUACGGGAGGCAGCAGUGGGGAAUAUUGCACAAUGGGCGCAAGCCUGAUGCAGCCAUGCCGCGUGUAUGAAGAAGGCCUUCGGGUUGUAAAGUACUUUCAGCGGGGAGGCGGUACCCGCAGAAGAAGCACCGGCUAACUCCGUGCCAGCAGCCGCGGUAAUUC
rnacentral:rRNA from 1 species